UAGAGGACAGCCCUUGUUCCUUUAUUCAUUCAAUCGUUUAGAAUUCCGUACGUGUGUAACUGGUCGAAGGAAGAGAUGACAGGAAGACAAUUUUAAAAUCAUUUUAAAAUCCAAACAGCAAUUUUGAACUAAUCUGCUGGUGAACUUUCCUUAGUGUCUGAAAAGGACACUGACUUCUGAAAAAGAAACAAACAAAAAGGCCCCCCCAAAACUCAGUGUCUGUAGAAAUUAGGAGGCUGAGGAAUGUGAGUCUAAUUUCAAAUGUAAGCCUGCAGACUUUUCCAGAAGAGCUUGUUAAAGCUUCCUCAGUUUUAGUGAACUGACAUGUUACUCUGAGACUCUCCACUGAAACGUCUUGCCCCCGACAUGCGUCUUCCCAGAAAGCGUAGUUUCUUCUUUGGCAUCCUCUCUAGAACGUCUCUCUGACUUGGCAGCUGUGGUCCAAGAACCAGAACGGCUCAAAUCAGAUGGACCUUGAAUCCCAGACUUCACAAGUCCUGAAGCCAAGCGUCUCACUGUCCACGCCCACACUGCGUGUAACACAUUUGUGCCAGAAUCCUGACAUGUCCCCCAAAAUGCAGCUGAAGUAACCCCCCAACCCCCACACAGCUCUGCUCAGUAUAGGGUCACGUUGGCAGAAACAAGCCAUCGUAGAACACUAAAUACAAAAAAUUCCAAUAUUGGGUCAUUUUCCUCUUAAAAGUUUAAAGGAAGUAAAAUUGUAAGCAGUAACAGCCUUCUAAAAAAAGAAGAAAAAAAAGGAAACUGAAAAUAAUCAAUCAAUACGUUUCCUAGUGGGAAACCAGCAAAUCAAAUUCUUCACUUUGGUACAUUCAUCAGGCGCUGAUUGGAAGCCUCGCUUGUGUUUGGUGUUUGGGAGUAACCUUGAACCCCUAGCAGUUCAUUCUGCUCAGGAAUUUCUCUCCGGUCAUUUCAGGGAGCAGGCAAUGUAUGCAGCGGGUGACCCCGGUUUCUGAGCAGCAUUUGGAAGAUUUUUACGUGGCUUCCAGCCCUGGAUCGUUCCCGGUGGGAAAUUGACUGCGAGAAAACCUCCUCCACCCAGCAGCCAGAGUGGAGGUCAGAUCGUGUUGCUGCUUUGCUCUGAAGCUUCCAUCCUCCCUGCUCAAAAGACUCCUCAACCCCACGACUGGAGCCAGAUCCUCACUGGGCCCUGCUGGGCUCACGUGACCUGACCCCACGGUGGUCCGACCUCAUCUGUUGUCUCUGGACGUGAUCUGCUCGCUAUGUCCUCCUCUCCUGCCAGCUGGCCUCCCUGCGGCUCCUGGACACGCACCUGGGCCCUGCACCUGUGGUCGGGGGCCCUGCAGCAGGGCUGAACGGUUUGUCCCAUUGAAGUGUCACUCCACAGCUAGGCCCCCCAACCACUUUCAUUAAAUUUACACACCCAGCGCGCCUCCCCACCCUCUUCCCUCUUCUCUUCUAAUAUCUGAUGUAAUGGACUUACUCUUUUGUGUGUUCCUCUUCCCCUGUUGUGGGCUGGGUUGCGUUCCCCCCUGAAAUGGACAUGUUGACGCCCCAGCUGCCACUGUGACUGGAUCUGGAGCUGGGGCCUUUCAGGGAGCCAUUGUGGUUAGAUGAGGUCGCAGGGUAGGGCCCUGAUCCAACAGGCCGGUGGCCGUAGAAGAAGAGGAAGAGACACUGAUGUCUCCAGAAUAAGGCCACCGAGAGGACGCAGUGAGAAGCUAGCCGCCUGCAGGCCAGGGAGAGAGGCUUCACCAGAAACUCACCCGGAGGACACCUGGUCUUGCACUUCCAGCCUCCAGAACUGUGAGCAGUAAAUGUGUGUCUCUCAAGCAGCCCGGGCUGCGCUCUUGUCACAGCAGCUGGAGCCGACUAGUGCAUGCCGUCACUCCGCGGGAGUGUCAGCUCCGGGGAGACGGGAGUUUGGAGUUCCUGUCUCUCGUUUGAAUAACACCUACAAGGGCGCUUAAUAAGUAUUUGCUGAGGGCAUAAGGGAAUGUGUUCCCGGCUCGAACAGGGAGAGGAGGAAGGAGUCCCAGGGCUUUUGUGUGUGUCUGGUCCCACCUGGCUGCUGACGAUCACUGCUUUGCCCAGUUACUUCCUGAACAGCGUUUGAGGUUCUGGCCCGUGGCCCCACGUCUGUUGCCACGAGUCUGCCUCCCUGCUUCCACCUUUGGGCAGUGGCUGAGUCUCUGGCUAAUUCAGAUUUUCUCGCUCUGUGUCACCAGAUGUACCAAUUACCUUUUUUUUUUUUUUAGUAUUUUAAAGGUGAAAAUUGCCAAGAGCUGCCAGUUACAGAGCAGGGCCUUGGCUCCUGAAGGAUGCUCUUCCAGACUGUCUGAGGAGGGACAUCUCGCCCUGGUUCCUCUCUCCUCCAGGAGAGGCUGGGUCCCCGCUGAAGCCUGCAGUCUGGCCAGGCCCUCCUCCCUGCUUCACUUCUGAGUGGGAGGUUUGCUCCAGGUUUAUUCUGACCCAUAGGUAACUUCACUCCUCCUCUGAGAACUUGAGGUCCGCCAGCUCUGGGACCGGAACAAGCUAGAGCCCUGGCUGGAGGACGCCAGAAGGAGAUGGAAAACGACUUUCUGGGUGUGUGUGUUGGGGGAGGUGAUGGUGGCAGAGGUGCGGGGCCCCUAGUCUCAGGCUGGCCUUGAGCCUUGUCCCCCCAGCUCCCCUCCCCUUCCUUCCACUCUCCUCGCCUCCUGUUCCAGCCUCUAGCUCUCCGGCUCGCCUUCCCCAGGACCACAGCCAGUCCACGUGCUUUUUGUGGGUAUUAGACAAGCGCCCCACUCUGGGCACACACAGCUCUGGCUGUAGCCUUUGGAUCUGGGGCAGCUGGCUCCAGGAAGAGGCCAGAGCUCUGCUGGUGACACCAGAUGGCCACAGGCACGUGAAAAGCUGCUCAACAUCACUGACUAUUAGAGAAAUGCAAGUCACAGCCACCGUGAGGGACCACCUCACACCGGUCAAAACGGCCAGCAUCCAAGAGCCCACAAAGGGUAAAUGCUGGGGAGGGUGUGGAGAAGGGGAGCCCUCCUGCACUGCUGCUGGGCACGUGCAUCGGUGCAGCCACUGUGGAGGACGGUCUGGGAGUUCCUGAAGAACCUGGAAGUGGAGCGCCCCUGGGACCCAGCAGUCCCGCUCCCGGCCUGUGUGUGGGGAGCAAGCCCACGCCCCGCCACUGCUUUCCUCCCAAGCCCCGCUCUCUCCCCCGCUCAUGGACGGCAGGAGCCCUUUUGCCAAAACCCGAGAGGGACCUUCCCGCACCCUGGCCCCCCAGCCCCCCGCCGCAGCCGGCAGCUCAUCUUCGUCCCCGGUUUUCUGAACCGAGGACCGUGAAGACAAGCGAAGACCGCAGAAGGGAAGGCCAGGAGAGAGGGUCUGUGGAAGGGGAAGGCGGGGCUGUGUGAUACGGAGGACGGAGGGCCCACCCCCGAGGCUGGGGGCGACAUACAGGACCUCCCCCUGCAGGAGCUCAUGGGGCCAAGACGAGGCUGGGCUCUAACGUGGGGAGGGGAGGGGGCACCCAGGGAUGGAGGAGGAAACACCCUAAACAAACAAGCGACUCUGAUUCCUUGUCCGGGAGGCCCUGUCCCGCGGCCACACGCCUUCCUCUGACCUCUGUCUGGCAGCCCUCUAACCACAGGUGAGUCAGCAUAUCAGCUUAAAAUUGUUUGCCAUACACCGGGCUGGGGAGAACGCCUUCAUUCACCUGCGCCCCCCCAGCCACCUUCUUCCGGGAUAGCCAGCAACCCUGGAAGUGGCGGGCGGAGCCCUGGGGCAGGUGCCUGCCUGCGGACUGGUGCGCUCUCCUGCGGGAAGAACGUGCGGCUUGCAGCUGCCUCCGGAAGGUACUGUUCCCGGCUACCGGCCAUCUCUAAAGUGGGUUACGGGUGGGGAGUGAGACGCCUUCAUCUCAGGAUCCUGGAGCUGCAGGCUGGGCCCCUGGAGGAUCUCAGCAGGAGAAGGGGCCCUGGGUCAGUCACCUACUGAAAUCCUGUGUGAUUCCAGGCUGGCUCCCCAACCCCCUCUGAGCCCCGCAUCCUCAUCUGUGGAAAUGAGAACCUCCUUCCCGGGUGGGUGUGAGGAGAGUAAAUACAGCCGUGCACUUAAGGCCCCCCGCCCGGGUCGGAGCCGCACGUCCUCUCCUGCCUCUGGGAAAGGCGCUCUCUUACUUUCA